UACGAAGGGGGCAAGCGUUGUUCGGAAUUACUGGGCGUAAAGAGUACGUAGGCGGUUUAGUAAGUUAGAUGUGAAAUCCCAGGGCUUAACCUUGGAACUGCAUUUAAUACUGCUAGACUAGAAUCCGAGAGGGGAUAGUGGAAUUUCUAGUGUAGAGGUGAAAUGCGUAGAUAUUCGGAGGAACACCAAUUGCGAAGGCAGUUCACUGGACCGUGAUCGACGCUGAGGAGCGAAAGCUAGGGGAGCAAACAGG
rnacentral:rRNA from 1 species